rnacentral:rRNA from 1 species
UACGUAGGGUGCGAGCGUUAAUCGGAAUUACUGGGCGUAAAGCGUGCGUAGGCGGUUCGUUGUGUCUGUGGUGAAAGCCCCGGGCUUAACCUGGGAAUGGCCAUGGAAACUGGCGAGCUGGAGUGUGGCAGAGGGGGGUGGGAAUUCCGACGUGUAGCAGUGAAAUGCGUAGAGAUGCGGAGGAACACCGAUGGCGAAGGCAGCCCCCUGGGCUAACACUGACGCUGAGGCACGAAAGCGUGGGGAGCAAACAGG